GGCAAGGGUAGAGGCGCGAUAUUUAAGAGUACCAUUGAUGAGGUAAGCACAAUGAUUCAAUGGAAAAGGAAAUGUCGCCGAAGUAUAUAACUGAUGCUUUAAGGUUAUAUAUCUGGGGUUGUAUAAAAUAUAUGCAACACUGUCACAAAUUGUAUUUGUGGAGAGCUAUCAUUUAA
rnacentral:ncRNA from 2 species